rnacentral:rRNA from 1 species
GCCUACGGGGCGCAGCAGUGGGGAAUGUUGCGCAAUGGGGGAAACCCUGACGCAGCAACGCUGCGUGAAGGAUGAAGGUUUUCGGAUUGUAAACUUCUUUGAUGAGGGACGAAAAAAAUGACGGUACCUCAAAAACAAGCCACGGCUAACUACGUGCCAGCAGCCGCGGUAAUACGUAGGUGGCGAGCGUUGUCCGGAAUUACUGGGUGUAAAGGGCGUGUAGGCGGGUUGGCAAGUCAGAUGUGAAAUCCCAUGGCUUAACUGUGGGGCUGCAUCUGAAACUGCUGAUCUUGAGUAUCGGAGAGGAAAGUGGAAUUCCCAGUGUAGCGGUGAAAUGCGUAGAUAUUGGGAGGAACACCAGUGGCGAAGGCGACUUUCUGGACGGUAACUGACGCUGAGGCGCGAAAGCGUGGGGAGCAAACAGGAUUAGAUACCCGGGUAG